rnacentral:rRNA from 1 species
CCAGAGAACUUAGCAGAGAUGCUUUGGUGCCUUCGGGAACUCUGAGACAGGUGCUGCAUGGCUGUCGUCAGCUCGUGUUGUGAAAUGUUGGGUUAAGUCCCGCAACGAGCGCAACCCUUAUCCUUUGUUGCCAGCGGUUCGGCCGGGAACUCAAAGGAGACUGCCGGUGAUAGACCGGAGGAAGGUGGGGAUGACGUCAAGUCAUCAUGGCCCUUACGGCCAGGGCUACACACGUGCUACAAUGGCGCAUACAAAGAGAAGCGACCUCGCGAGAGCAAGCGGACCUCAUAAAGUGCGUCGUAGUCCGGAUUGGAGUCUGCAACUCGACUCCAUGAAGUCGGAAUCGCUAGUAAUCGUAGAUCAGAAUGCUACGGUGAAUACGUUCCCGGGCCUUGUACACACCGCCCGUCACACCAUGGGAGUGGGUUGCAAAAGAAGUAGGUAGCUUAACCUUCGGGAGGGCGCUUACCACUUUGUGAUUCAUGACUGGGGUGAAGUCGUAACAAGGUAGGCGUAGCGAG